ensembl:lncRNA
CGCUGGGUAACGCGCUGGCCGCGGCGCCGACUCCUGGCGGCCGGCUGCGCGAGGCACGCCGGGUAGCGCGUUGGCGAAGGAGCCGACUCAUGGCCUGGCGGCGCUCGUUCCUUUCUUAGCCGGCGGACGAAGCGCGGGCUCCUCCAGGUCGAAGGAGCGCUGGGCACAGCGGGGGAACUUAACCCACUUCGCGUCUCCCGUUCUUCUUUGAAAGGCAUUUAAACAGGGGUUUCAUGGAAGACGCCAUGAUGGUGCACUAAGAUGACGUCACGGGCAGCGAAAUUGCUAGAAACGUCUGGCCCUUUGCUCUCGGUCCCGGGCUUGGAAGCUAAGCCAAUGGUGAAAGGUCUUCAAAGGAACACGAAACAGACGCCAGUGAGCCACCAGCGCAACCGCAGGCGCUCACUGUUUCAAUGAGGCCAGAGCUUCCCUCCAUGGAGUCAAACAGAUGAUAGAGUUAUUCCAAACAAUUGGAUUUAAAAUGUUUCCUGAGCUUCUGAAUGUAAAGACUCCUGCUGUAUACUGUGGAAACCAUACACCCAUGAACUGUAGGGAAAUAGAAGAUGCUCUGCAAUAAUAGCAUUUCAAACUUUUUAUGGAAGCAAAUCUAGGGUUAUAAGGCUUCUGAGGUCUUCAGGACUGAUAUCAGGUCUAUACGAAAGGCUUUUUACCUCCAGAAGACUGGGGCAGAAUCCAUUCCUUGCCUUUUCUGGUUUCUAGAGGAUACUCACAUUCUGUGACUUGUGGUUACAUCCUUUAACCUCUAGUCCACUGUCCCUUUAUGCUCCUCCUUUGUCUUUUUUCUUUUUAAGGAUGUUUGGCCCACCCAGAUAAGCAGGCCACCUUUUCUUGCAACAGUGUAGCCAAGGAUUUAGUAGACUAGACUUGGACAGGUAUUGUGAAACAGUUUCUUCUGAGAUUGAAACAUUGUAUCUGCCAGAGAAAUGCUUUAAUUAGGAAGGUAAACAAUUCAAAGAGCUUCUGGAGGCCCCUGAAACUUACCAAAUUCUUUAGGUUCCCCAAAUCAAUAGGAACAAAAUUGCAAAGAUUCUCAGACAAGUCAAGUUGCAAAGAAGACUGACACCAGACCAGCUGCCUGAAAGACCUUUAGAUCAUCUCAAGUGCCUGGAAAGGACACUCUCUAACCUGUUGACUUGUCUGCAGUCUGUAAGGUAUGCUCCAGGUUUCCAGCUUUGUGAGAUGUCACCCUUCUAGGGUAAACUUUGGCAAUAUAGCUGUCUUUGAGUCAUUUUUGCUCCUGUAAAUAACCCCUUACCCAUAUUCCUUCAAGUAACCCCAAUAAAACUCAUUGGUUCACCAAAA